rnacentral:rRNA from 1 species
GUGGGAAUAUUGCGCAAUGGGCGAAAGCCUGACGCAGCGACGCCGCGUGAAGGAUUGAAGGUUUUCGGAUCGUAAACUUCUUUUAUCAGGGACGAUUAUGACGGUACCUGAUGAAUAAGGGCCGGCUAACUACGUGCCAGCAGCCGCGGUAAUACGUAGGGCCCGAGCGUUAUCCGGAUUUAUUGGGCGUAAAGAGCAUGUAGGUGGUAUCGUAAGUUGUUUGUUAAAUCUUUCGGCUCAACCGAAAAAUCGCAAGCAAUACUGCAAUACUGGAGAAUGGCAGGGGCAAGUGGAAUUUGUGGUGUAGGGAUUAAAUCCGUUGAUAUCACAAAGAACACCGAUAGCGAAGGCAGCUUGCUAGGCUAUUUCUGACACUGAGAUGCGAAAGCGUGGGUAGCGAACGGG